GGAGUACUUCCUUCGUCCAAAAAUUAUUGUCUUUAAUUUAUCUAAAUACGGAUAUAUUAAGUCACGUUUUAGUAUUAGAUAUAUCUGUAUCUAGACAAACAAGAAUUUUGGACGGAGAGAGUACUAU
rfam:Triticum aestivum genome assembly, contig: Triticum_aestivum_CS42_TGACv1_scaffold_193623_3AL